ACUGGAAACGGUUGCUAAUACCCCGUAGGCUGAGGAGCAAAAGGAAAAAUCCGCCCAAGGAGGGGCUCGCGUCUGAUUAGCUAGUUGGUGAGGCAAUAGCUUACCAAGGCGAUGAUCAGUAUCUGGUCCGAGAGGAUGAUCAGCCACACUGGGACUGAGACACGGCCCAGACUCCUACGGGAGGCAGCAGUGGGGAAUUUUCCGCAAUGGGCGAAAGCCUGACGGAGCAAUGCCGCGUGGAGGUGGAAGGCCUACGGGUCGUCAACUUCU
rnacentral:ncRNA from 1 species